CAGGCAGGAAGUGACAUAGAAAGGAGACAUAUUUAAGUGAAGGAGAAACAGGAAGGCCUCUCUUUUCCCCUCUGCUCCUGUUCCAGCAGCACAAUGUGAUCCACCGACAAGGAGGGACACCAAUAAGCCGUCCGAUAAGAUAAGUCUUAUAAAAUAUAUAGGUUUAUUAUAAUUAAGACUGAGCUAGCAGAUGAGAAGUCCCAGUCAUGGGCCAAGCAGCAUUGUACCUAAUACAAGUUUCUGUGUAUUCAUCUGGGCUCUAACUCGGGCGGGCAGCUUGCGUAAAGCAUACACUUGGCGGAGGGGCUCAGUGGCUUUUGGCGGAAAGAUUUAUCGUAACAUUCCUAUUGCUGUGAGAAAACUCGGUGACCAAAAGCAGCUUGGAGAGGACAGGAUUGAUCUCACCUCACAACUUUAGGUCACAGUCAUCACUGAGGGAAGUCAGGGCAGGACUCGAAGCAGGAAACUGCAGGCAGGAAAUGAAACAGGAACCAGAGGAACAUUGCUCACUUACACACCCCAGGACCACCUGCCCAGGGGUGAUGGCACCCAUAGGAGGCUGGGCCCUUCUACCCCAGUCACAAUCCAGGCCUGUCUACAGGGUAUCCAAAAGGCGGCAUUUUCUCAAUGGCGGUUUCCUCCUUACAGAUGGCUCCAGCUUGUGUCAUGAUGGAAUGAAAACUAACCGACCCGGAGGGUAACACAAAUCACUUCUAGUUCUGUUCUUUAUCCACUCACUGAUCCCGUGUGGCUGCCAAUUCACCAUCAGCAUCCCCAGUGCUCUCCCCUCAAUGACAGAACCAACUUCCUGGAUCUUACAUCCCUACAGGAAACGGUGAAGAGUUAAAACCCCUGACCCAGCUCUCAGCUCUCCUUAGUGCCACUCUCCACUCUUCCUGAGCUGGGCUUGCAGAGGGGGGAGGUGAUUGGUGAGCACCUUUUAUAUUACAAGUACCGAAUAAACACACAUUUUCAUAAUACGGCCUUUUAAACCAGAAAUUAUCUUCCAUUCACUCAUGGAAGCGUAUUUUAGGAGACCUACCUAAUGCAGUAUCUCGUGCAUUGUGGGAACUAAAUAAAUGUUUGAGAAUGAAUAUUAAAAACCUUUUAUGUGAAGGCAGAAAAAUGACUUUGCAUCUCAUAUUGGAAAAUUUCAUCUUUGAGAAAAAGUAAAAUAAGAAUAGGCUAUUUUGGGGACUAGUGAGAUGAUUGGAUGGGUAAAGGCACCUGCUACCAAGCCUGACAACCAGAGUCCCAUUCCAGGAACCCACAGGGGGAGAGAAAACCAACUCUCACAAGUUCUCUGAUUUCCACAUAAAAGCUAUGGCUCCUGAACACAGAGGCUCCACAUACACAAUAAAUGAAAAGAGAGGGAGGGAGGGAGGGAGGGAGGGAGGGAGGGAGGAAGAAGGAAGGAAGGAAGGAAGGAAGGAAGGAAGGAAGGAAGGAAGGAAGGAAGGAGGGAGGGAAGGAAAGAAGGAAGGAAGAAAGAAGGAAGGAAGGGUAGGCUGUUUAGAAACCAGGCAUAACACGUGGUAAUCAUGGAAUCACAUACACCUGCCUGCUAGUUUCACCAAGCUAUUACAGAAAAGUUAGUAACCUUUCACAAGUACAUUUCCUAAGUCUCCAGUCCCUUGUUUGUUGAAUGAAGAGCUUCCAAUUCCUUCCAGCUCAGUGUCCCAGAGAAGAGCCACACAUGCUUUCCAACCAGAUAAGCACACACCAAAAAUAUCAAACCAUCAGACUGGAAUGGGAAAACCUUUUUUGUUUUGUUUUUAGAGACACCGUCAUUAAGAUAAUUCAUUACAUUUGCUUCUUUUGUGUGUGUUCCUGUAUGUGUGAAGGUGCCCACAUGCCACCCCACACAUGUAGAAGGCAGGGGAUAACUUUGGGGAGUGGGCUCUCUCCUUUCAUCAUGUGGGCUGCAGGGACCAGACUCAGGACAUUUGGAGACAAAUGCCUUUACCCACUGAGCUCUCUCACUCACUGGCCACCUACUGGCUAGUGAUGGCUAUUUCUAGCUGUGACUAUUUGCUUCUCAGAGGGACAAUUCCUCCUAGUGCUUUGCUUUCCAGUUUAGAACCAGGGUAUAAUAAAAUACAACUACAGCAAAUAACGUUGUGAGACGUUUUGGAAAGUUAGGGAUUUGAAUAUGAAAUGUAAGUAAAAUAGCCACAGAGGCAGUAAUGACUGCAAUAAGUGAGUACACAUGGGAAACCAGAAGAGCGUGGGAGAUAAGUUACAAGGUCCACCUGCAUCUGUUUCUAGAGAAACGAGAGAGGCCGCUAGGCAGGAGAGAGGAACUUCUGACAGCACACCUUUUUAUGAUCACAGUGCUCUCGGGCUCCUCGGGGGCCUUGCACAUGCUCAGAUAUUAAUGCCUGAGUAAACAAUGGCCAUUUGAUGUUUCUUACCACCCUCCCCGGCUUUCUCCCCACCACAGGCUGGCUUCCAGCUCUCUGCUCCUUUUAUUGUGUCCUGUGCUUCUAGUCCUAUACCCACGAUAGGGACCAAUGCCCCCCUGGUCCUUACCUUCACCGUCCUUUUGCCCCUUGUGUCACUGUGUUUGAAGAGGCUACUCGUCUCCCUCCAAUUUUCCUCCUCUAUUUUCCCUCACUAACUUUUUCAAGGUCUUCAAGUGAGUAGGUCUCCGUAUAGAUCCCUCCUCUUGGGAACUCACAGCAGUACAGUUGCCUCAUCUUGCAGAAGUCAUUUUCACUAUCAAUCACCACGAAGGCCAAGCACAGUGUUCAGUAUAUUACGGUCGCCAUCUCUUUUGCCAGCAGCCCUCUGCAGUGGACCUCAAUAGUUCAAUAGGCACACUUCUGGUAGGAGCAGGACCAAGAACUUGGGAGCGGCCUUUCUGGUACAAAUCUCAUCUACCUAUGUGUAUAUCAGUGGUUAUGGCCGUGUAACCAAUUACUCUAGGACACAAUACCCUCUAACAGUCAUGUACACCCAUGUAACCAAUUACCCAGAACACAAUAGCCUGAACAGUCAUGUUGCCCACUCAUCUGCAAUCAGUCAGCAUCUGGCGAAGGUGACACCUCCACUCUGUGGGGAGCAGCUCCUGUGGUGUCUCAAGGCCCCAUGGUGGAGAAGACGCCAUUGUGUGGUGAACAGAUUGGCAGAGGCUGUUGGCUAGGAACUAAGGAGCUGGGAAGUGGGGGAUCUCAGUUCCUUUCUGUGAGGAGCCGCACUCACAUUCGCCAUUACAAGAUGGCGCUGACAUCCGCUGCCAGAUCAAGUAAACAACGUUGGUAUCCAUGUGCCCAGUGUUUUUCCACUGCCUAGCCCUGCCUAUUCCAUGGCGUCAUAUAGGGUGACGAGUCAUGCACCUAUCCCAGCUGUACACGCAUCGCUCAGAGUUUGUGAGCCUUUAUUAGGGGAUGGAAUUCUUGGCUCAGGGUCUCUGCUCUGGUAAGCUUAUGCUCUCCUCUCAAGACGCAUUAAAGCUUUACUGCAGAAGGAUCCGAAUGUCCUGUGUGGUUCUUGCCGGCAAGACAGUCUCGCGGGACAUCUGGUGCCGAAACCCGGGAACUUGUUAACAUCGCCGGCACCUCGGAGACCCCUCGGACAGGGCGGAUUCAGAACUGCAGGGUGGUAAAUUCGGAGAGGAUGCUUUUGGUCAGAGUGAUUUACAACAGUAACAGAAAGGAAAUCAGACCAACAGGUGUCAAUAAGGACCUCACUAGCUCCCAACAACUGACCCCAGUAAAGAUGUCGGAGAAGAUGAGCCGUUGUCAGAGUCCUCCUCAACCAAGCGUCUGGUGCCUCUGGUGCUUUCCUCCCGCCCUGCUCUCUCCUCUCUCUGGUCAUGAGACACCCUGGAAGCAGUAACCUCUCCUUGGGCAGCCAGGAGAAUAAUGCCUCCCCCAUGUGCUUCCUCAUAUUUCUGAUUCUGCCUUUUAAAUAUUUG
ensembl:lncRNA